rnacentral:sRNA from 1 species
CAGCAGGGCCCCCGGGGCAGCCUCGGGCCCCCCGGCUUCGCCGCCACCGCCGCCGUCCCCCCUCGGGCUGGAGGGGUGAGGGCACUAAGGCACAGUACCUGGCAGCCAAGGCCCUAAAGAAGCAGUCGUGGCGAUUCCACACCAAGUACAUGAUGUGGUUCCAGAGGCACGAGGAGCCCAAGACCAUCACUGACGAGUUCGAGCAGGUGAGGGCCCCGCCCCCUCUCUUCCCGCUGCUAGGGUUGGGGUAGAGUCCCCAGGCUCCAGGCAGCCCCUGGUGGCCUCUGCUCCCUCGCCUCCACCUUUCAGCUGGCGCAGUCCCUCAACUUGACCAAGUUCUCGUCCCUCUGGCUGUCUGCUCAGCCUGGAACACUGCCCUCUCAUCCUCCACUUGGCCAGCUCCUAGGCCUCCUGUAGGUCUCAGCCCAAAUGUCCCUUCCUCAAAGAAGCCUUCCUGGAGCCACCCAGCCCAGUGCCUCCCCCUCGCAGUGCUGGGCACACUCGCUUGGGGUGUGGGAUUUCCCAGUAUGUGUCCCUGCGCCAGGCUGUGGGCUCUGCUGCCCAGGGACCUUGAUGCCCACUUCACUCCAGGUCCCAGCACUCAGCAGGGCAGGGGCUCAGUGGGGAAACUAGUUUUUUUGAAUGGGCUUCUCAAGUUCUAAUACUGGGAAAUUCCUGCUGCUUGCAAACACUCUGGAGCCAACCUACCUGGGUUUGAGCCCAGUCUAGCUGGGUGACUCUAGGCAAGUCACUCGAAACUCUGUGUCUCAAUUUCCUUAUCUGUAAAAAUGGGGGGAAGAAGACCUACCUAAUGCAGUUGUUAUGAAGAUUAAAUGAGUUAAUAACAUGUAAGUACUUAAUGGUGACUGCUACAUAGUCAGUGUCAUGGAUUUUUUUUUUCAAAUUACUUUCAGUUGGUGUGUUCUACAGUGAUGUUUUUUUCCACCAAAUACUUCCCUGAUGCCGAGCCCCUUCAUGGGGAUGAAGUAUUACAAGGUCCUUGUCCUCAGAGAACUCAGUCCCCUCUCCUGGUUCUCCCAGGUUGCCAUCUUUGAAGCAUUUAAGACAUUCAUUUAGAACCUAGCUCCUCUCCCAUUGUGUCCUCAGACGUUAACCACAGACUUCCUGUCCUUUCCUGGUUUGACCCGAAACCAUCCUCCAACUUAGUACAUUUCAGGGCAUCCAGUCAUUCAGAAAUUCCCACACCACUUCCGUCACCAAUAAAAUGUCCCUGCAGAGUGCUUGGAUUUAGACUGUGAGACUGUUCCAUUCUCUAGAACAAGGGUGACAGUACCCGCUGCCUCGAGGUCUUUGUGAAGAUUAAAUGCUAGGCUGUGCAUCCUGUACUCACACGUGAGAGGUGCUCAAAAGCCACAGCCCUCGAGGAAACGAAGGCUGUGCACUCACACCUGGGGCUGGGGCCCCGCUCUGGCAGCUGGCUCCGGUGGAACCUCUCUGCGGCCCCCUCCGUUUCCUCCUCGCUGAAGUGGCGUGAUAACAUUUCCUACCCAAGAAGAACCUCGUGAGGGUGGAUGAGAGUGUGCGCGUGCAGGGCAGCUGGCCCGGUGCCUGACACAUCCACAGCCCUAAGAAUUGUCCCCUUUGUCUGUUGGUCCGGCCCAGAUCCCAGACCACCUCCUCGUCCACUCACUGACCGCCUUCUCCCCCGGCCAGGGCACCUACAUCUACUUUGACUACGAGAAGUGGGGCCAGCGGAAGAAGGAAGGCUUCACCUUUGAGUACCGCUACCUGGAGGACCGGGACCUCCAGUGACACCGGCCCCUCCCUCUACCCACCCCCUUCCCCCGCAUGCUGAUCCCCCUGCCCAGGUGAGGGCCCUGCCCUGGAAGACUGGAGGGAGGCCCCAAGCCACGGGGCAUCCCCCUCUCCCAGGAAGCAGGGAGGGGGCCGGGAGGUUUUCCUCUCAGCCCCACCCUGGGGGCCCGGGGGCGAGGGCUGCCCCCUCCUCCCCUCCCCAGUGAGGGACAUUUUUUGGUAAACCUAUUUUCAUUUUGGAAAAUAUUUAUGAAUAAAUAGUUUUAUAUGA